CUCACCACCCCCGUUCUGCCCCCAGCACGAUGGCCAGCCUUACUGCCACAAACCCUGCUAUGGAAUACUUUUCGGACCCAAGGGAGUGAACACCGGCGCCGUGGGCAGCUACAUCUAUGACAGGGACCCCGAAGGCAAAGUCCAGCCCUAGGCGCAGCCCCUCCAAGGGGCAGGGGCCCAUCUGCCUCCCGCCGGACCCUGCCUGGGGCCCACAGCUUGGUUCUGGGCGCGGGUGACCCGCUGCCCAGCCCUGCCUCAGCGUCCUGCCUGCAAGCCCAGGGAGUUGGGGGAGGGAAACCCCCGGUCUCCUGACCUGCUCGUUGCCCGGCCCACGUCUGUGGUGUGUCUCGUCCUCUCUCUGGCGUCCCCUGUGUGUCCCCAUUACCCUUUUUGUGCCUGUGUGUCUCCAUAUCCCCAUGUUCCCAUGUGUCCCUGUGAACCAGCAUUUCCCCUCAUGUCCCAUGUACCCAGUGGGUCUUCUAGGCUGCUGUCCCGUUCUUCCUCUCCUGCUGCCCCACGCCCACCCACCAGUGUUAUUUAUGCUCCCUUGCUGGUGAUGGCCAUGCCCCUCACAGCGUUCCUGCCUCGCAAGCCCCGCCCACCAGCCUCACGUGGCUCACCCAGCUGCUGAGACUUUUGCUGUCAAUAAAAGGUUUGAGUAUGGCAAG